UCUCUGCUGCAGAUGUCAUGAUAGCUGGACCAGGAGCCUCUAGGGACUCUCCUACCUCUGCGCUCAUGUUCCCGUUGAUGUGCUAGGAUCCCAACAUGAUUGCUACAACUCAAAGGUGAUGCUUUGAAUCAAGAAUGAGGCCGUCUCAGAACACCGAGGGUAGAAAUCUGGUCACUGCCGUCACCUGCUGUAAAAGCCGGAAGGAAAGUGUACCUUGCAGACUCACAACUGAGGAGCACUGUCUCCCCAGGACAGAGAGGACCGGAGAGAGCAGCAGCAGAGCCACCUGUCAGGAGGCCAGUGGCCAGCAGGUCGCUGCCAGGUACUGCCCCUGAGCUUCUCACCCGUGGACACUUGUGCUUGCCGGCGCUGGCUUUGGAAUUAAGUGUCUGGUUAUUCCAGAACGCUUCCUAAGAACCCAGCAGCCCUAAACCGUCAGUGCAGCAACCAUGGACAACAGGCUGUCCCUGUGUCUCCCCCUGAAGUCGUCAUGAACACUGGAUGCCUGUAGAAACCACCUCACGAUAUUCACCAGCUGCUGCGUCGAGAAGAGUUCUUACUCAUUCUUACAAAGCACUGUAAUUCUUUUAUCUGUCUCUUCUACGACUCAUCUGGCACAGUGCACACCUAUAAUCUCAUUAGUAAAUCAGAGACAUCUCAGUGACUUAGAUGCUAUCUUAUCAUGAUGACCCAUCAUGAAUGUCACACUGAAUUACCGGACAAAAUUUUAAUUUAAACACAGAGCCUGAAGGCCCAAAAUGUAGAGACGCCAUAACUGUCAAAAUGUUUAGAAGAAACCAUGAAUGGCACAUUGUUCCUGAAAAACGUAAAAUAAAGUAGUAUUAUUAAUGCCUUA